rnacentral:rRNA from 1 species
UGGGCGACUCUAAGGAGAACUGCCGGUGGCAAACCGGAACGGAAAGGUGGGGAGUGACGUCAAGUCAUCAUGGCCCUUACGGCCUGGGCUACACACGUGCUACAAUGGUCGGUACAAAGGGUUGCCAAGCCGCGAGGUGGAGCUAAUCCCAUAAAACCGAAUCGUAGUCCGGAUCGCAGUCUGCAACUCGACUGCGUGAAGUCGGAAUCGCUAGUAAUCGUGAAUCAGAAUGUCACGGUGAAUACGUUCCCGGGCCUU